rnacentral:piRNA from 1 species
CGAGCGCACGGGUCGGCGGCGAUGUC